UACGUAGGGGGCAAGCGUUGUCCGGAUUUAUUGGGCGUAAAGAGCGUGUAGGCGGCCAUGUAGGUCCGUUGUGAAAACUCGAGGCUCAACCUCGAGACGCCGAUGGAAACCAUGUGGCUAGAGUCCGGAAGAGGAGAGUGGAACUCCUGGUGUAGCGGUGAAAUGCGCAGAUAUCAGGAAGAACACCCGUGGCUAAGGCGGCUCUCUAGUACGGUACUGACGCUGAGACGCGAAAGCGUGGGGAGCGAACAGG
rnacentral:rRNA from 1 species